GACGAACGCUGGCGGCGUGCCUAAUACAUGCAAGUCGAGCGCAGGAAACUGACGGAACUCUUCGGAGGGAAGGCAGUGGAAUGAGCGGCGGACGGGUGAGUAACACGUAAGGAACCUGCCUCAAGGAUUGGGAUAACUCCGAGAAAUCGGAGCUAAUACCGGAUAGUUCAACGGACCGCAUGGUCCGCUGAUGAAAGGCGCUCCGGCGUCACCUUGAGAUGGCCUUGCGGUGCAUUAGCUAGUUGGUGGGGUAACGGCCCACCAAGGCGACGAUGAAUAGCCGACCUGAGAGGGUGAUCGGCCACACUGGGACUGAGACACGGCCCAGACUCCUACGGGAGGCAGCAGUAGGGAAUCUUCCACAAUGGACGAAAGUCUGAUGGAGCAACGCCGCGUGAGUGAUGAAGGUUUUCGGAUCGUAAAACUCUGUUGUAAGGGAAGAACACGUACGAGAGGGAAUGCUCGUACCUUGACGGUACCUUACGAGAAAGCCACGGCUAACUACGUGCCAGCAGCCGCAGUAAAAC
rnacentral:rRNA from 1 species